rnacentral:rRNA from 1 species
CGGGUGAGUAACACGUGGAUAACCUACCUAUAAGACUGGGAUAACUUCGGGAAACCGGAGCUAAUACCGGAUAAUAUUUUGAACCGCAUGGUUCAAAAGUGAAAGACGGUCUUGCUGUCACUUAUAGAUGGAUCCGCGCUGCAUUAGCUAGUUGGUAAGGUAACGGCUUACCAAGGCAACGAUGCAUAGCCGACCUGAGAGGGUGAUCGGCCACACUGUAACUGAGACACGGUCCAG